UUUCCGUAGGUGUACCUGCGGAAGGAUCAUUAAAGUUAUAGUCCCCCGGCCCUCUGGGCUGGGGUCUUCUAUACCACCCUUUGUUUAUUACACCUUUGUUGCUUUGGCAGGCCUGCCCUCAGGCUGCUGGCUCCGGCCGGCUCGCGUCUGCCAGAGGACCUAAACUCUGUUUGUAUAUGAAGUCUGAGUACUAUAUAAUAGUUAAAACUUUCAACAACGGAUCUCUUGGUUCUG
rnacentral:misc_RNA from 1 species